CGGCGGACGGGUGAGUAACGCGUGGGUAACCUGCCUCAUACAGGGGGAUAACAGUUGGAAACGGCUGCUAAUACCGCAUAAGCGCACAGUACCGCAUGGUACAGUGUGAAAAACUCCGGUGGUGUGAGAUGGAUCCGCGUCUGAUUAGCCAGUUGGCGGGGUAACGGCCCACCAAAGCGACGAUCAGUAGCCGACCUGAGAGGGUGACCGGCCACAUUGGGACUGAGACACGGCCCAA
rnacentral:rRNA from 1 species